rnacentral:lncRNA from 1 species
AGCUGUCCCCGGGCUGCCUGGGAGUCACUGGGGAGUCCUAGCCCGCCCUUGGGCCUAGGGCUCCCUGAUGCGGCCUCCACUCUUCGCAGGGCCAGGGGGCGAGGAAGGAGGAGGGAGGGAAGAGGGAAGCUGGGGAGUGGGAGAGCGUCCUCCACGACCGCUUGGGUCCUCCGCGGGGCAGCCUCGGGGAGGGUGGCUGCAGGGCCCGGAGUCGCCUGGAUCGCAGCGCCAUCUCGUGGCUGCUGGCAGGUCUGCCUUGGGCCCUCUUGGCACAAGGCAAGGAAACAGGAGCUCUUCCCAUCAGUGACAGCCCAGGAGAAUGCUCCAGUGUCACCAGUGACUCCUGCUCCCACAUCUGCCUACAGGAAGCCCUCUUGGAACAAAAGCAUCUCACUUCUGGGAGGCAUCAAGUAUGUGCAUCACCAGCAGGACAGACUUGCAGCGCCUAUUCUGAGUGAAAAAGAGAAUCUUUUGGUGCUACCCUCAACCAACCUCAUCCUUUCUCCACUUGGAUUCUUCUCAACAUUGACCCUCUUGAAAAGAUCAUAAAAACUCACUUUAAGGUGUAUAUGAGGAGUUUUGUCUCCCAGGAAGGUUUGCAUUGUAUCUGUAAUGGUGGAGUCUCAGGCAUUGACUUCCCAGGUGAAGGAAGGGUGAUUUUGGGAUGGGGGGGCCUUCCUGAAA